rnacentral:antisense_RNA from 1 species
GCUUAUGGUGGCCAUGCACAGGGCGUCUUCGGAUGCACCGGUUUCCUGGGACUACCGGUCUACCAACCUGAGCAUGGCCGCCACCCUC